UACGGGGGGGGCAAGCGUUGUUCGGAAUUACUGGGCGUAAAGGGCUCGUAGGUGGCCAACUAAGUCAGACGUGAAAUCCCUCGGCUUAACCGGGGAACUGCAUCUGAUACUGGAUGGCUUGAGAUUGGGAGAGGGAUGCGGAAUUCCAGGUGUAGCGGUGAAAUGCGUAGAUAUCUGGAGGAACACCGGUGGCGAAGGCGGCAUCCUGGACCGGCAUUGACGCUGAUGAGCGAAAGCUAGGGGAGCAAACGGG
rnacentral:rRNA from 1 species